rnacentral:lncRNA from 1 species
CAAAUCAAAAGUGAAUUGUGGAAUUAACUGAUGUCAUCAACAUUCAACUUUGCAAAACGACAUCGUUUCUUUUCUUUCAGCAUCCCACCAACCACGCAGACAUCUCCCGCUAUUUAAACCAAACCAGAUUCAGGCCUUUCUCGCCAAAAGCCAAAAAAAGAAAAAAAAUUAGGAAAAGAGAAAUAAAGGCACUUCUCUCUCUUUCAACUAGCAGCUGCUAAGCCAUGGCAACGACGACAUCAUCACCUCACUCACUGUUUCUCCAGAACCGUAAUAGCCACCCACUCAAUAAAAACAAUCUCGCAUCUUUCACCAACCUUAAAAAGAUCAAUUUUUUUAACACCAAAAGAGCCAUUUCAGUCACCUGCUCCGCCGCAUCAGCACCAACCCAAGAUCGAACGGCGGCCCAGAUCCAAUCCGGGCAAGAAGACCGGGUCUUCAACUUCGCUGCGGGCCCCGCUAAUCUCCCGGAGAAAGUUCUACUCAAGGCCCAAUCGGAGCUUUACAACUGGCGCGGAUCUGGCAUGAGCGUG